CUUGGCGCCUCUGAUAUUUUCAUUUUUCCCUCAUCUCUCUCUCUCUCUCUCUCUCUUCAUCUUCCAUCUAUGAGUUCACUCCCGCUGGCAUAAGUUUGCUGAUCCACUUUCACCAAGCCGGCAUCGCCGCCCACUCUCUCUCGAUGUCGCCAUCGAUCUCGGUCAGUACAUAGAUAUCACCUCUCUCAGAGCUUUAGGAGUCUUCAACGUUCAAUCGGUACCUCUCUUUUACUUCCUUCGAAAACCCUACAGUUUGCAAUUUGCACUCAUCUGUUUUCAUCUCUCUUUUACUUUCUUCGAAAACCCUAGAGUUUGAAGUAUGACGCAUUUGAUAUUUGUUUCAUAACAACAGAUGACUUCACAAAUGUGGAUAUUCUAGAAGCAACUUAUCCAGCUGUUGUAAAGAGGUUACAUAGUGAUUGGAUUAGUGAUUCUGCAAUUCCUAUUGUUACUGGCUACCUUGGGAAAGUCCUCAUGCCUCCAAUUACAUUAUAGUUUUCAACUUUGAAGGAGUCAUUAUCUGCUUGAGACUUGUCCAUUUGAGGGAUUACAGUAAUGAUAUUCUUUAACCAUUAUGAUUGCAAGGCUGGAGAUCUUGGGUAGUGACUACAUUGGGUAGGGCUGGCAGUGAUUUGACAGCCACAACCAUUGGUAAAGCACUUGGGUUGCAAGAAAUUCAGGUCAAUGUUUACACUAAAUAUAUGUCGAAAGUACAUGAACAUAAUUAACUAGUAUGUGAGCAUAUGAACAUGUAUGAAACAGUGUGUGAAAGUGUUUUCUUGUGAGCUUACAAGAUUGAUGAUAAGACAUGAAAUUGAUGUAA